rnacentral:tRNA from 1 species
GGACACAUAGUUUAAACCAAACCAUAACACUGAAAAUGUUAAAAUGGCACUUGCCUGUUUCCA